UGGCAGAAUUCAGUGAAUCAUCGAAUCUUUGAACGCACAUUGCGCCCCUUGGUAUCCCGAGGGGCAUGCCUGUUCGAGCGUUAUU
rnacentral:rRNA from 1 species